rnacentral:rRNA from 1 species
UACGUAGGGGGCUAGCGUUGUCCGGAAUCAUUGGGCGUAAAGCGCGUGUAGGCGGUUCGGUAAGUCCGCUGUGAAAGUUGGGGGCUCAACCCUCGAAUGCCGGUGGAUACUGUCGGACUAGAGUACGGAAGAGGCGAGUGGAAUUCCUGGUGUAGCGGUGAAAUGCGCAGAUAUCAGGAGGAACACCAAUGGCGAAGGCAGCUCGCUGGGACGGUACUGACGCUGAGACGCGAAAGCGUGGGGAGCAAACAGG